GACGGAGGAUGCAAGCGUUAUCCGGAAUGAUUGGGCGUAAAGCGUCCGCAGGUGGCAGUUCAAGUCUGCUGUCAAAGACCGGGGCUUAACUUCGGAAAGGCAGUUGAAACUGAACAGCUAGAGUAUGGUAGGGGCAGAGGGAAUUCCUGGUGUAGCGGUGAAAUGCGUAGAGAUCAGGAAGAACAUCGGUGGCGAAGGCGCUCUGCUGGACCAUAACUGACACUCAGGGACGAAAGCUAGGGGAGCGAAUGGG
rnacentral:rRNA from 1 species